AUGCUCACCUCAGCAGCACAUAUACUAAAAUCGGAACAAUACAGAGAAGAUAGCAUGGUUCCUGUGCAAGGAUGACACACAAAUUCGUGAAGCAUUCCUAUUUUUA
ensembl:snRNA U6 U6 spliceosomal RNA